GAUGAAGAACGCAGCAAAAUGCGAUAAGUAAUGUGAAUUGCAGAAUUCAGUGAAUCAUCGAAUCUUUGAACGCACAUUGCGCCCGCUGGUAUUCCGGCGGGCAUGCCUGUUCGAGCGUCAUUACAACCCUCAGGCCCCCGGGCCUGGCGUUGGGGAUCGGCAGAAGCCCCCUGUGGGCACACGCCGUCCCUCAAAUACAGUGGCGGUCCCGCCGCAGCUUCCAUUGCGUAGUAGCUAACACCUCGCAACUGGAGAGCGGCGCGGCCAUGCCGUAAAACACCCAACUUCUGAAUGUUGACCUCGAAUCAGGUAGGAAUACCCGCUGAACUUAAGCAUAUCAAUAAGCGGAGGA
rnacentral:misc_RNA from 1 species